rnacentral:rRNA from 1 species
AUUGAACGCUGGCGGCAGGCUUAACACAUGCAAGUCGAGCGGGGGAAGUUGCUUCGGUAAUUGACCUAGCGGCGGACGGGUGAGUAAUACUUAGGAAUCUGCCUAUUAAUGGGGGACAACAUCUCGAAAGGGAUGCUAAUACCGCAUACGCCCUACGGGGGAAAGCCGGGGAUCACUUGUGACCUUGCGUUAAUAGAUGAGCCUCAGUCGGAUUAGCUAGUUGGUGGGGUAAAGGCCUACCAAGGCGACGAUCUGUAGCGGGUAUGAGAGGAUGAUCCGCCACACUGGGACUGAGACACGGCCCAGACUCCUACGGGAGGCAGCAGUGGGGAAUAUUGGACAAUUGGGGGAACCCUGAUCCAGCCAUGCCGCGUGUGUGAAGAAGGCCUUAUGGUUGUAAAGCACUUUAAGCGAGGAGGAGGCUCUUUUGGUUAAUACCCAAGAUGAGUGGACGUUACUCGCAGAAUAAGCACCGGCUAACUCUGUGCCAGCCGCCGCAGUAA